AAACCAACAGGGAUUGCCUUAGUAGCGGCGAGUGAACAGGCAAGAGCUCAGAUUUGAAAGCCCUCGGGCAUUGUAUUCUGAAGCCUUGGUCCUGAGAAUCGGUGUUUAAGUCUUCUGGAAAGGAGCGCCAUGGAGGGUGAUAGCCCCGUACGACACCACUCUCAUUGUAGGACUUUGGCAUGGAGUCGAGUUGUUUGGGAAUGCAGCUCAAAUGGGUGGUAUGCUCCAUCUAAAGCUAAAUAUCUGCGAGAGACCGAUAGCGAACAAGUACUGUGAAGGAAAGAUGAAAAGAACUUUGAAAAGAGAGUGAAAAAGUACGUGAAAUUGUUGAAAUGGAAGGAUAGGCCGCUAACCAUGUAGGGUCGUGUUCGAGGGGAAGAUAAAAGCUGAAGAAUGUAGCUCCUCGGAGUGUUAUAGCUUCAGUCCAUAUUCCCUCUCGAGCGCGAGGAUUGAAGACUCUGCUAAAUGGUGGUCUAUCA
rnacentral:rRNA from 1 species